rnacentral:misc_RNA from 1 species
GUACCACACAAAAAAAAAAAAUAAAUGUGCAGACCAGGUGUGGAAACAUGUUGGUUAGAGGCGCACUGAACAGGGAAGGUUGUUGGCAAGAGAUACGGUCGGAGAAAUCACUGGAAAAAGGGUUCACGCACCGGCGCAUGAAGAAUGACACGAGACUUCUGGAGGCCCGUGAGCUCACACGCUUCACCGGACGGCGGCGGGAUUCUGAGCGUAGGCCUAUCGGCUGGUGUCCUUCCUCCUCAGGUGGGUGGUGACAGUCACCUCCCUUCCUAGAACGACGUAGAAGCUUGGCCCAAAAAAAAAAUUACCCAGAACUACACUGUUCAUGCCAAUAAAUUUUGGCACUGCUCUGAUACCAUGUAAAAAAUAGAGAAUUUGGAAAAUUUUUCUUUUAUAUUUCUUUAUACUAAAAUGAUUUACAAGCAUUUUAAUUUAUAUACAAAGGCUAUGAAUAAAUAGGAAACUAAUAAAUAUAAUGAUUCGUAAUUAUAUUCUAUUUUAUAGCUAAUUUAUUCUAAUUAAGGGAUUUACUCUAAUUAAGGGAUUCUAACAAUGGCUAAUUACUAAGGUGUGGCCCAAGUUUAAUAGUCUCCUCCUGAGGUGGUUGGUUCUGGUUAGGUGGCUCAUUACUAAGGUGUGACCUAAGCCUAAUAUUCUCUCCCUGAAGCUUAAUAGCCUGAUUUGGAAAAAGGACCCCUUCCUCUUUCUCUUUAUGCUCCCCCUGAAGAGGUGACUUAAUAGGAAAUAAGGUUUAGAUUCUAUAAAAGGUAAUAUCCAUACUAACAAA